CAAGUCGAACGCAGUAGCAAUACUGAGUGGCAGACGGGUGAGUAACAUGUGGGAAUCUGCCUUGUGGUUCAGGACAACAUUGGGAAACCGAUGCUAAUACUGGAUAAGCCCUUACGGGGAAAGUUUUAAUGCCAUAAGAUGAGCCCGCAUUUGAUUAGUUAGUUGGUGAGGUAAUGGCUCACCAAGACAAUGAUCAAUAGCUGAUCUGAGAGGAUGAUCAGCCACACUGGGACUGAGACACGGCCCAGACUCCUACGGGAGGCAGCAGUGGGGAAUCUUGCACAAUGGAGGAAACUCUGAUGCAGCGAUGCCGCGUGAGUGAAGAAGGCCUUUGGGUUGUAAAGCUCUUUUGUAGGGGAAGAUAAUGACUGUACCCUAAGAAUAAGGUCCGGCUAACUUCGUGCCAGCAGCCGCGGUAAUACGGAGGGACCUAGCGUAGUUCGGAAUUACUGGGCGUAAAGCGCGCGUAGGCCGUUGAGUUAGUUAAUUGUGAAAUCCCAAAGCUUAACUUUGGAACUGCAAUUAAAACUGCUCGACUAGAGUUUGAUAGAGGAAAGCGGAAUACAUAGUGUAGAGGUGAAAUUCGUAGAUAUUAUGUAGAACACCAGUUGCGAAGGCGGCUUUCUGGAUCAACACUGACGCUGAGGCGCGAAAGUAUGGGUAGCAAGGAGGAUUAGAUACCCUCGUAGUCCAUACCAUAAACGAUGAUUGCUAGAUGUUGGAAAUUUAUUUUCAGUAUCGCAGCUAACGCAUUAAGCAAUCCGCCUGGGGAGUACGACCGCAAGGUUAAAACUCAAAUGAAUUGACGG
rnacentral:rRNA from 1 species